GCGUGAAUGAUGAAGGUCUUAGGAUUGUAAAAUUCUUUCACCGGGGACGAUAAUGACGGUACCCGGAGAAGAAGCCCCGGCUAACUUCGUGCCAGCAGCCGCGGUAAUACGAAGGGGGCUAGCGUUGCUCGGAAUUACUGGGCGUAAAGGGCGCGUAGGCGGAUCGUUAAGUUAGAGGUGAAAGCCCAGGGCUCAACCUUGGAACUGCCUUUGAUACUGGCGAUCUGGAGUACGGGAGAGGUGUGUGGAACUCCGAGUGUAGAGGUGAAAUUCGU
rnacentral:rRNA from 1 species